AUGGGCUCCCUCGACAGCGCCGCCGGGUCGGGGAGCUACAAGCGCGCGGCGGCACCGGCGCCGGUGCCGCGCGCCCCGGCGGGCGGCGGAGGCGCGGCGCGGAGGCCGGGCGUGAGAUCCAGGCUCGCGCGGUUCGUGCUCGUCGACAAGGUGGACUUCCUUCAGUGGAUCGGCACCGCUGCCGCCUUCUUCCUCGUCACCAUUCUCGUGUACACCUUCCUCCCCGGAUCGGUCGUCGUCGAGAACCCGACGAUGCAGCUCCCUUCGCGACGCGCCAGCGGGGGAUGGGGGCGGGGCGGGACCGAAGCCGUGCUGCCUCGCGGUCUCGGCGGGCUGGAGAACGGCGAGGGCCUCACGUUCGAGCCCACGAGGCUGCGGGACAAGUGGGCGAGGGAGCGGAGUCAGGAUGCUCAGAGCUUGGCGGAGCUCGGGAGACCCGUCAAGAGGGUCGGGGCCCGGAAGCCGCGCCUCGCCUUGGUGUUUGGGGAUCUCUCUCCCGACGCAAUGCAGCUUCAGAUGAUCAGCGUCGCCUCUGUGCUGGAGGCGAUGGGCUACGAAAUGAAGGUUUUCUCAUUUGAGGAUGGCCCAUGUAGUAGUAUUUGGAGUACUAUUGGCAUACCAGUUGAGAUCUUACCUGUGGACACAAAGUUACUCACUUCUAUAGAUUGGCUAGACUAUGAUGGCAUGCUUGUAAACUCAAUUGAAGCAAGGCCAGUAUUUUCAAGUCUUUUGCAGGAGCCUUUCAAAUCCGUACCUGUCAUUUGGACUGUGCACGAGACUUCCCUCGCUCAUUGUAUUAGGGAAUAUAAGUCUAGUGGAAUGACUCAAAUCCUAGGUGGUUGGCAAGAAGUCUUUAGCAGGGCAAAUGUUAUAGUUUUUCCCAACUACAUAUUGCCGGUGAUGUAUGCUGCAUUUGAUUCUGGUAACUAUUUCGUGAUUCCAGGUUCUCCUGCACCAGCAUUUCAAGCUGAUAGAUUCAUUGCGAAAAAUUAUGACAAAGAUGUGAGAAUCAGCCUGAGUUUAGGUCCAAGAGAUUUUGUAAUUGCUAUGGUUGGUAGUCAGUUUUCAUAUGAUGGGCUUUUGAUGGAAGAGGCACUUGUCUUGCAAGCAGUAGGACCUCUUUUACAGCAGUAUCCUUCUGAGAAUAGCACACAGACUGAACUGAAAGUGAGAAUCUUAACAGGAAACCAAACUGAUAAGCAUAGGAUAGCCCUUGAGGCCAUUGCUUUAAAUGUUGGCUUCUCAAGAGGUGCAGUGGAGCAUGUUGCUGUUGAAGAUACUGACAAUCUCCUUGCUAUAGCUAACCUUGUCAUAUACUGUUCUUGCCUUGAUGAGCAAUCCUUCCCCAGUGUGCUAGUUGAAGCUAUGAUUCUUGAGAAGCUGGUUAUAGCUCCGGACCUUGGAAUGAUCACAAAAUAUAUUGAUGAUGGGAUAAAUGGACUCCUUUUUCCAAGAAAGAAUAUUGCCAUGUUAAGUCAAGUCCUACUGCAAGUGGUAUCAAAUGGGGAACUAUCCGAUCUAGGGAAAAAUAUUGCAUCAGUUGGUAAAGCCCGUGCGAAGGAUCUGAUGGCUUCUGAAGCCAUUGAAGGCUAUGCUGUACUAUUGGAAAAUGUUAUCAAGUUUCCUUCCGAAACACUGACCCCGUUAACUGCUGGGGAGAUACCUUUGCCUUUGAAACAAGAGUGGAAAUGGCAUCUAUUUGAGGAUGUGAAGCACUUAUACAAUGUGAAUGAAAGUUUGGCUGACUGCAAGAUGCUCAAGAAAAUGGAUUGGCACAGGAACAGAAAGAAUGAUCCUCACAGUAUUACACCAAAGAUUGAUGAAACGUUCUCUGCUAUUGCAUGGAAGGAAGAAAGAGCAAAUCGGAUUAUGAGCGCCAAAAUGAAAUUGGAAGAAGAGUAUUUGAAGGAGAGGAGUGACCAACCUCGUGGAACAUGGGAGGAAGUGUAUAGAAAUGUCAAAAGGGUGGAUAGGAUGAAAAAUGAAUUGCAUGAAAGAGAUGAAAAGGAGCUUGAACGGACAGGUCAGCCACUCUGUAUAUACGAACCCUUCUAUGGGGAGGGAACUUGGCCCUUUCUGCAUCAGAGCUCUCUGUAUCGUGGAAUUGGCCUGUCUUCAAAAGGUCGAAGAUUCGGAGCAGAUGACAUUGAUGCUUCUUCUCGUCUCCCGCUGCUCAACAGUGGGUACUACAGAGAUAUCCUUGGCGAAUUUGGAGCUUUCUUUGCUCUGGCUAACAGAAUUGACCGGAUACACAAGAAUUCUUGGAUAGGAUUUCAAUCCUGGAGGGUGACUGCAAGAAAGCAGGCGAACUUGUCAAAAAAUGCUGAAUCUGCAAUGUUGGAAGCUAUUCAAACUCAAAAGCAUGGAGAUGCCUUCUACUUUUGGGUUCGUAUGGACCAAGAUCCAAGAAAUCAUGCUAAUCAAGAUUUCUGGUCCCUCUGUGAUGCGAUUAAUGCUGGGAACUGCAGGUUAGCUGUUUUGGAGGCUUUUCAAAGGAUGUAUGGCUUGCAGCUUGAUGGAGAUUUGAAUUCUCUGCCACGUAUGCCUAAUGACGGAGACACGUGGUCUGUGAUGCAAAGCUGGGUUAUGCCUACGAGAUCGUUCCUGGAAUUUGUAAUGUUCUCAAGGAUGUUUGUAGAUGCGCUGGAUGCACAGAUGUACGACAAGCAUCAUCAAACUGGGCAUUGCAUCUUGAGUCUCCACAGGGACAAGCACUGCUACUCUGGUGUUCUCGAGUUGAUUGUAAACGUUUGGGCGUUCCACAGUGCACGGCGGAUGGUCUAUGUAAACCCAGAGACUGGUGCAAUGCAGGAGCAGCAUCCGCUGGAGGGCAGGAGAGGUCAGAUGUCAAUCCAGUGGUUCUCCUACGCUACCCUGAAGAGCAUGGACGAAGACUUGGCAGAAGAGGCUGAUGCGGACCACCCUGACAGAAGGUGGCUCUGGCCACAAACUGGCGAAGUUGUGUGGCAAGGUCUGUACGAGCGGGAGAGGACCAUGCGGCAGCAGGAGAAGGAGCGGAGGAAGCAACAGACCAAAGACAAGAUCCAGAGAAUGAAGAAGAGGGCUCGGCAAAAAACCAUAGGGAGGUACAUAAAGCCACCGUCAGAUGAUGCCGGUCGCUUAAACGACACAAGGACGGACAGUUGA
rnacentral:rRNA from 1 species